AUUGAACGCUGGCGGCAUGCCUUACACAUGCAAGUCGAACGGCAGCGGGGGAGAAGCUUGCUUUUCCUGCCGGCGAGUGGCGAACGGGUGAGUAAUACAUCGGAACGUGCCCUGUAGUGGGGGAUAACUAGUCGAAAGAUUAGCUAAUACCGCAUACGACCUGAGGGUGAAAGUGGGGGACCGCAAGGCCUCAUGCUAUAGGAGCGGCCGAUGUCUGAUUAGCUAGUUGGUGGGGUAAAGGCCUACCAAGGCGACGAUCAGUAGCUGGUCUGAGAGGACGAUCAGCCACACUGGGACUGAGACACGGCCCAGACUCCUACGGGAGGCAGCAGUGGGGAAUUUUGGACAAUGGGCGAAAGCCUGAUCCAGCAAUGCCGCGUGUGUGAAGAAGGCCUUCGGGCUGUAAAGCACUUUUGUCCGGAAAGAAAUGGCUCUGGUUAAUACCUGGGGUCGAUGACGGUACCGGAAGAAUCAGGACCGGCUAACUACGUGCCAGCCGCCGCAGUAA
rnacentral:rRNA from 1 species